CUUUAAUCUACAUAUAGAUUGGGCUAACCAAAUUGGUAACAGCGCUGAGGAGGAGGAUUUCCUGGAGUGUAUACAGGAUGGUUUUCUUAGUCAAUAUGUAGAGGACCCAACUAGAGGGCGGGCCAUCCUAGACUGGGUAUUGUGUAAUUAGGAAGGAUUAGUCAGCAAUCUUGUUGUGCAAAGCCCCUUGGGCAACAGUGACCAUAAUAUGGUGGAAUUCUGCAUUAAGAUGGAGAGUGAUACGGUUAAUUCAGAAACGAGGGUCCCGAACUUAAAGAAAGAGACUUUGAUGCUAUGAGGC